rnacentral:rRNA from 1 species
AAGGGUCCGUAGGCGGGCCGAUAAGUCAGUGGUGAAAUCUCGCAGCUUAACUGUGAAACUGCCAUUGAUACUGUCGGUCUUGAGUAAAUUUGAAGUGGCUGGAAUAAGUAGUGUAGCGGUGAAAUGCAUAGAUAUUACUUAGAACACCAAUUGCGAAGGCAGGUCACUAAGAUUUAACUGACGCUGAGGGACGAAAGCGUGGGGAGCGAACAGGAUUAGAUACCCUGGUAGUCCACGCCGUAAACGAUGCUAACUCGUUUUUGGAUUUUCGGAUUCAGAGACCAAGCGAAAGUGAUAAGUUAGCCACCUGGG